rnacentral:rRNA from 1 species
GAAGAAGGGGGGGGGCUUUACCAUGCAAAGUCGAGCGCCCCGCAAGGGGAGCGGCAGACGGGUGAGUAACGCGUGGGAAUCUACCAUUUGCUACGGAACAACAGUUGGAAACGACUGCUAAUACCGUAUGUGCCCUAACGGGGAAAGAUUUAUCGGCAAAUGAUGAGCCCGCGUUGGAUUAGCUAGUUGGUGGGGUAAAGGCCUACCAAGGCGACGAUCCAUAGCUGGUCUGAGAGGAUGAUCAGCCACACUGGGACUGAGACACGGCCCAGACUCCUACGGGAGGCAGCAGUGGGGAAUAUUGGACAAUGGGCGCAAGCCUGAUCCAGCCAUGCCGCGUGAGUGAUGAAGGCCCUAGGGUUGUAAAGCUCUUUCACCGGUGAAGAUAAUGACGGUAACCGGAGAAGAAGCCCCGGCUAACUUCGUGCCAGCAGCCGCGGUAAU